GAUGAACGCUGGUGGCGUGCCUAAUACAUGCAAGUCGAGCGAACGGACGAGAAGCUUGCUUCUCUGAUGUUAGCGGCGGACGGGUGAGUAACACGUGGAUAACCUACCUAUAAGACUGGGAUAACUUCGGGAAACCGGAGCUAAUACCGGAUAAUAUUUUGAACCGCAUGGUUCAAAAGUGAGAGACGGUCUUGCUGUCACUUAUAGAUGGAUCCGCGCUGCAUUAGCUAGUUGGUAAGGUAACGGCUUACCAAGGCAACGAUGCAUAGCCGACCUGAGAGGGUGAUCGGCCACACUGGAACUGAGACACGGUCCAGACUCCUACGGGAGGCAGCAGUAGGGAAUCCUUCCGCAAUGGGCGAAAGCCUGACCGAGCAACGCCGCGUGAGUGAUGAAGGUCUUCCGAUCGUAAAACCUCUGUUAUUAGGGAAGAACAUAUGUGUAAGUAACUGUGCACAUCUUGACCGUACCCUAAUCAGAAAGCCCCCGCUAACUACCUGCCAGCAGCCCCCGUAAUACCUAAGGGGCCAGCGUUAUCCGGAAUUAUUGGGCCUAAGCGCGCGUAGGCGGUUUUUUAGUCUGAUGUGAAAGCCCACGGCUCCACCCUGGAGGGUCAUUGGAAACUGGAAAACUUGAGUGCAGAAGAGGAAAGUGGAAUUCCAUGUGUAGCGGUGAAAUGCGCAGAGAUAUGGAGGAACACCAGUGGCGAAGGCGACUUUCUGGUCUGUAACUGACGCUGAUGUGCGAAAGCGUGGGGAUCAAACAGGAUUAGAUACCCUGGUAGUCCACGCCGUAAACGAUGAGUGCUAAGUGUUAGGGGGUUUCCGCCCCUUAGUGCUGCAGCUAACGCAUUAAGCACUCCGCCUGGGGAGUACGACCGCAAGGUUGAAACUCAAAGGAAUUGACGGGGACCCGCACAAGCGGUGGAGCAUGUGGUUUAAUUCGAAGCAACGCGAAGAACCUUACCAAAUCUUGACAUCCUUUGACAACUCUAGAGAUAGAGCCUUCCCCUUCGGGGGACAAAGUGACAGGUGGUGCAUGGUUGUCGUCAGCUCGUGUCGUGAGAUGUUGGGUUAAGUCCCGCAACGAGCGCAACCCUUAAGCUUAGUUGCCAUCAUUAAGUUGGGCACUCUAAGUUGACUGCCGGUGACAAACCGGAGGAAGGUGGGGAUGACGUCAAAUCAUCAUGCCCCUUAUGAUUUGGGCUACACACGUGCUACAAUGGACAAUACAAAGGGCAGCGAAACCGCGAGGUCAAGCAAAUCCCAUAAAGUUGUUCUCAGUUCGGAUUGUAGUCUGCAACUCGACUACAUGAAGCUGGAAUCGCUAGUAAUCGUAGAUCAGCAUGCUACGGUGAAUACGUUCCCGGGUCU
rnacentral:rRNA from 1 species